AGUGAACGCUGGCGGUAGGCCUAACACAUGCAAGUCGAACGGCAGCACAGUAAGAGCUUGCUCUUACGGGUGGCGAGUGGCGGACGGGUGAGGAAUACAUCGGAAUCUACUUUUUCGUGGGGGAUAACGUAGGGAAACUUACGCCAAUACCGCAUACGACCUACGGGUGAAAGCAGGGGAUCUUCGGACCUUGCGCGAUUGAAUGAGCCGAUGUCGGAUUAGCUAGUUGGCGGGGUAAAGGCCCACCAAGGCGACGAUCCGUAGCUGGUCUGAGAGGAUGAUCAGCCACACUGGAACUGAGACACGGUCCAGACUCCUACGGGAGGCAGCAGUGGGGAAUAUUGGACGAUGGGCGCAAGCCUGAUCCAGCCAUACCGCGUGGGUGAAGAAGGCCUUCGGGUUGUAAAGCCCUUUUGUUGGGAAAGAAAAGCAGCAGGUUAAUACCCCGCUGUUCUGACGGUACCCAAAGAAUAAGCACCGGCUAACUUCGUG
rnacentral:rRNA from 1 species